rnacentral:lncRNA from 1 species
AAGACGGACAUACUAAAAUCAAUACUCAGAAGCCACAUGGGAGGAAGAGAAAACCAGUCUCCCCUGAGCUCUCCAUGUACACACACACACAGAACACAUAAACAACAUGUACACACACACAGAGAACACAUAAACAACAUGUACACACACACACAGAACACAUAAACAACAUGUACACACACACACACACAGAGCACAUAAACAACAUG